rnacentral:lncRNA from 14 species
AUGUCCAAAGUGCCAUGAGGAAGCCCACUGCUGUGCAUGGGAAGAAAGAAAGAUGGGCCAGAGAACUGGUUCAGUGGGAAAAGACACUUGCCGUUAUGCCACAAGCACUUUAUCCAUCAUCGUUGCCACCACCACCACCAUCACCACCACCACUACCACCACCAUCAUCAUCAUCAUCGCAGGGUCUCACCAUGUAACAAGGCACAACUGCUACAGAGCUGGGGACCGAACCCAGGGCCUUGCGCUUCCUAGAUUUUAUCGCAACCUUUUCUUCAGUUCCCUCUUCAUCAAAAUCACCGGCAUCUUCUUCAUCACCAUCCUCAUCAAGUUUUACUUUGUCUCUGUGGAACCUUGUUCCCACCUCCAGGAGCAGAUCUCUUUCCAGACACGCCUAGCAGUUUUCCAUGUCCAUCUUCUGACUCUGCAUCUUCCUCUACAGCUACAAGAGCUGGUAGAGCUGACUCUCGAGUGGCAUCUCCAUGGGACAGGAGCACACUGUGCAGAGCCAGUGCGUCCAUCCCCCUCUCCAAGACUGAUGAUGUCACAGCUGCUGCCCAAGGCCCGUCUGUGGACCAGAAGGUCAGCGUCGAACCAGUCUUCAGCUUGGGACCAUCUUCCUAAACUGGAGCUGCUGGACCCAGAGGCAUCUCAUGCUGAAGGGGACGCCUGUCGGAAGCGCAAGCGGCUUGGCUUUGCCCAUUGGCAGAGCACGACUAGCAGUGUGACCAGAGACAAGCAGAAUGAUAUGGCCCUGCACGCAGCACCCUGCUCCGUUCUCAGAGGAGGGCUGCUUCUUCACAGCGGUGAUGGGCAGUAG